rnacentral:rRNA from 1 species
UACGAAGGGGCUAGCGUUGCUCGGAAUCACUGGGCGUAAAGGGUGCGUAGGCGGGUCUUUAAGUCGAGGGAUGAAUCCUGGAGCUCAACUCCAGAACUGCCUUGAUACUGAAGAUCUUGAGUUCGGGAGAGGUGAGUGGAACUGCGAGUGUAGAGGUGAAAUUCGUAGAUAUUCGGAAGAACACCAGUGGCGAAGGCGGCUCACUGGCCCGGUACUGACGCUGAGGUGCGAAAGCGUGGGAGCAACAGG